rnacentral:lncRNA from 1 species
CGCGCACACAUACCCAUACCCCCCACCACCACCACGAAACACCCCUGGAUUCAUUCCCCAGUACCAAACCAAACCAAAUCAAACUAACCAACCAACCAACAACAACAACAAAAAAAAAAACAACAAACACUCAAGUUAGCUCUCCAUUCUCUUCUUAGCUUCCAACAAAGUUACACAUAGUGCAUCAGUCUGUUGUUUUAACUUUUCCUUCCAUUGGGUGGAGGUAACUAGGCUGGUGGGGAAUAGAUCAGAGGGUCUGAGAAGAAAAGGUAAGAAUGCAGUGAGACCUGCAGGAGAGAGUCCAACCUGGGUCACCACUUGGUUUGUCUGUGGUGUUGUCAAGCAAUUGUUCCUCUUGUGGUGUGUUAGUGGUUAUCCAUCCAUUCAUCCAACAUUCAUUUAACAAAUAUUUAGGAGUGUCCACUACAUGGCAGGCACAGUUCCAGGUGCUGGGGAGAUAACAUUGAAAACAAAGUUUUGACCUCAUGGAGCUUAUACUCUGAUUGUAGAAAGCAGACAGUAACAAUACAUGAAGAUAUUAAGAGGGAUUGGCAAGUGCUGUUUAACAUGGAAGAGUAGAGAUCUGAAUGGAGUGAAGGAGAAAGACAUGAGGAUAUCUGGUGAAGAGUAUUCCAAGCAGAAAGGACAAGGGUGAAGGUCUUGAAGCAGAUAUAUUCCAAGAAUUACAAUAAAGUGGCAGGAACCAAUGAAUUAAAGGGAGAGUAAUAAGACAUGAAGUCAAAGUAGCAACAGCACUGGAAGCACAUAG